rnacentral:lncRNA from 1 species
CUGAAGAAGCACUUCCGGCAAGAACCGGAAACUGCUGCCGAGGGGCGAGCGGGAGGGACGGCUUUUUAGACACUCGGCUAGCUGCCGGCAGAUCUCCUUGUUUAUUGGAUCUGGCUAUAUUAUAAUGAGUGAUAUGUUGACUUCAGAUGUUAUUGGUCAAAGAGUUGAAGUUAAUGGAGAAUAUGCCACAGUGCAUUUUUCUGGACCUGUUCCUCCUAUAGCAGGUAAUUUGUGAUUUUAUAUGUGCCUGUCUGUAAGUCUGCGUGUACAUAGAUGGAUAUGCGUGUGUAU